AUGCUCUGCCUGGUCCCACAACCUCCUUGCUCUGGGAGAGUUUCUUACAACCCGGCUUGCUUUAGGGUUAGCACAGGAGGCAGAUCCUCAGAGCAGCUCUGCCUGCGUUCACCCUGCUGCCCUCUGCACUGGGCUCCCCAGGGGUGUGCGGCACGGGGGGGACAUAUUACAGCAGGGCACGGCUGGGGAUACCUGCAGCACUUGCAAGCCUGGGGCUCCAGCUGUGCCAGCUUUCUGAGCAUCAUUAAAUGUUGCUUCGCUCAGCCCCACGUAGGAGCCUGGCAAUACUGCCAGCUGCUCCACGGAGGCUGGGACAGGUCCCUGAGCCUUGGGUAUCCCAGUGCAGAGCCCUCAUAUCAGACCCCCAAUGUCCCCAGGUCUCACAGCACCAGGCAGCAGCUGCGUCAGCUAAAAUGUUUUUGGCAGAGGCCUGACCCUACUGCAAUGCAGGGACAGGGGCUCAGAGCCCUCUUGGAGGUGCGGAGAUGUCUGCAAGGGAUGCCAUCUGAGGUGCAGGCUCAAGUCAAACCAGGGCUGCUAUUUCCAAGCCUCCCACGGUGGGCAGUACACAUUGAUGCAACUCAGGUAUAGGGAAGACACGUGGAAAAGGUGCUCCCUGUCCCCAGAACCAGCAAGAGGCCACCAUACUGGGGGUUACUGGGAACAUAGGUGCAAUCCUGGAGGAAUGCCCCACGCACCUUGGCCAAUGCUCAGCUGUGAGCCACCCAGUCCCUGCUGGAGGUGGAAGCGACCCUGGAGGUUUAGGAGCAGGCCAAAAGCACGCUGCAGUCGAGGGAAACUUUGCUCGGGUUGGUCCAGCAAUGAACGACAGAGCCUGGAAUGUGGUUUUUUUUUUUUUUCUUUCCUUUUUUUUUUUUUUUUUCCCCUUUAUAUGUAACAAAUGCAGAAGAGGAGGAGGAGACAGCAAGGAAGUAUUCGCUCUAAACCCAGCGUAGUCACAGGACCGCGUCUGGCUGCCAGAAUGAGUUGUCCCAGGCUGGUGGGGCUGAGGGCAGCCCCCAGCAAAACCCAUGCAAGGCAGAGGCUGAGCUCAGCCCCCCCCCGAGCCAGGCAACGCCAAGCCCUGCGCGGGCAGCACCGCACGCGGACGCAGGAGCACCGCGUCCGCCUUGUGCAGAGGAUGUUGAAAAAUUGGACAGGAGGCAGAAAGGAACCACAAAAAUGAUUCAGGGCCUGGAAAAAAUGCCUUGCAGCUGGAGACCAAAAUAGCUCCAUCUAUUUAGUCCGUCAAAGAGAUUACACGGCGCUGCGAUUGCAGCGGGCUCGGCGCUCCCCGCGGGGACCCCGGGGCUCGAGCAGGGUCUCUGCCCCCGGCGGGAGCAGCAGCGUGGGGCUGAGCGUGCAAGGAGAGGUGGUGGGGGCAUUACCCAAAGCAACUCCCCAGGGACCGGGUGGGCCCGAGGCGAGAUUCUUCCCUACAAGACGGCCCUGAGCGAGCUACCUGGGCUCUGCUCCAGCACAACAGGCUGAAAUUCAUCGUGCUGUGAUAGACAGGAGCGGGGCUGACCAGGGAUUGUCCUGCCCUACGCUUCCCUGCCUUUAGAAAUCCAGUGUCUGGUGUUUUUUUUCCUAGUGAAAACAGUUUCAAGUCCACAAGGGGAAACUCCCCACUAGGGGAAUCCCCACUGCCCUCCCCUUCCUCCCCAUGCGCACCCCAAAGCUCCUCGCUUCCCCCCUCCUGCCACAGGGAGCCCUCCAGGAACCCGCAGCCACUUGGGCACCUCCAGCAACCCAGCUGCAUCCUUGGAUGCACCAAAACACCUGGGGGGGCCCUGGCCAGGCAGCCCCCAGCGCCCUGAGCUGACACCGAAGCCAGGCAGCAGCAGGGAAGACGCCUCCCUCUGCCACGAGCAGGACCCCGACCCCGCCAGCCGCAACCCAUCCCGCACCCCCCGCCCAGGAUUACAGCCUGUCCUUUAACAGAUAGCUAAUCUCUCCUUCGCUGUGCCUGGCCGUGGUAUCCAACACCUCCGUGCUCAGCCUCCCCUCAUUUAUCAGCUGCUCCGACAGCAAAUAAAUACGCUCGUGUUUCACAGCUCCAGUUCCCUCCCCACAGGGUCAGCAUCCCUUGCCCGCACAGCGCAGCAAGGAUGGGUCACGGAGUGCCAGGACGGUGCCGGGACCAGUGCUUGGCCCCAAGGAUGCCCUUGGACCUGCUGCCUGGUUUCAGCCCUUCUCUCUCUAUUUCUUCCCUUGAGAAAGGGCGAAAAGUCCCGCUGGUUCCAAGCGUGGCUACCCUGCAGCACACCCGCAGCCCUACGGUUUCAAUGGGGUGAGGAGAGGUAGACGGGACGUGGCACUGGGUAUCUGGUGCUCCCAGUGCAGCCCUCAGACUGGAUCCAGCCCCGUGCUGGUGGCAGAUGACCUGAACCCGUGGGUUAUUGGGAUGUGUUUCCGAAACGUGCCUCAUGGCUUUGUCUCCUCUGAAGGGGGUUCAGUCCCUGUGCCCCACAACUGCUCAAAGCGGGACCACUGAGAAAUUUGUUUAAAAACUUGCUCCUGACCCAAACUGACGUACCAGCACAGACAUGCCCUGAGCAAGCAAGUGCUCUGGGCUUCAUUAUAUUUUUCCUUUCCUCAAAGUGCUAUAAAUGCUGGGAAAAGGAAGAAGACGUUGCCCGUGAGAUGUGGCUGGCUCACGGAGAUUUCACUGACGCAGAGGAAAAGGAGCGCAGACUGGAGGCAGAGCCAGGGCUGCCCCUGCUCCCUGGGACACAGCUGCAUCCCACUGAGCAUCCCGCAUCAGUGCUGAGCUUUGGGCUGAGCAUCCUGCACGAGCUGAGCAUCAGCAGGUAUCGGGAGCUGCAAAUCCCAAAGCCCAGAGCACCACUGCCACCUCCCCCAGCCAAACUAGUGCUGGCACACUGCUGCCCAAACUGGGGAGGAGCACAUCACCCCAACACUG
rnacentral:lncRNA from 1 species